UUUCUUUUCUCCUUCUCUUUCAGGCCAAUGGAAUCACUUAUGAAAGCAGCUCUAGGAGUUCCUGUCAUUGUAUAUUCCAUCUCAAGGAAGCUCAGUCUGAAAAUUGACAGUGAAUGUACAAUGGAACAACCCCAAAACUGACUAAGUGGAGAGCCCACUUAAAAGAAAUGAUUCCAGAUUAAUUGGCCGUGAAGAAGUAACAAGGGAAAAAUAACUCUGGAGCUGAAAAGAGAAAUAAUAUACUACCUUUAGAAAGCAACAUCUACUGUUCUUGGCUUGGACAAUGUACUAAAGCUAAAGUGCAGGCAGCACUGCAAUGCACAUACAAAAGGAUGGAGCUUGAAUUGUGAUCUCAAAAUGCAAGUGUUGUCAUUCUGGCAUCAUCGGGGUUAGGAACAGAUGCCUGUGGCCUACAUUUACCUCAUUCUCUAGUGCUAAUGUAGCUGGGUACUGUGAAUCCUAAACUCACCCAUUUAAUUUUCUAUUUAAAUAGGAAGGUUUAUUCCAUACAAGUAAUGAUAAGGUCAAGGCUGAAGCUUUUCUAACUUAUUUAUUUGGACUCAGCACCACCAUGGAUCAAAAGCUUAGAAAUAAGUUCCAAGCAUCCAGGUGAGAUGACACCAGAGGAUUCCAGCCUGGCAGAUUUAUGGAAACUUUAGUUCAACCUGGAUCAGUUCAGCUGUCUCCAGGGCUCCUGCAGUGGCAGUCGAUGAAAAAAACAUCCAUAUUGGUGGAAGUCUGCUUGCUUAGAAAAUGUUUUUACAAUGAGACUAAGAAAAUAUAUGAAGUGGACUCCAGUGACUUUCUUGCUUCUUGUCACUACAAGAUUCAGAGGCACCACCCCACCAGUGGAAAAAAAUCAAAAGAAUACUCUGAUUUACUGUGUUAUGGAAACCAUCACAAUCUCUGCA